UUUCCUCACCCAUCUUCUUCUUUGAUUUUAAUUAUUCGUAAGUUAAUUUUGAAUUGUUACAAUAAGUUGUGCUUUCUUUGUUGUGUUAGGUGUUUAUGCUACUGCAGUAGGUUUUGAUCGGGGUUGCAGUGUUAUUAUAGGCGAGGGGCUGCAUAUUUGACAAUUUAGAAGUCAAUUACGCACUCGAAGAUUUUCAACUGGUUGGUGUUAUUUUUUUUUAACUUUUUAAGCAAUAUCAACUGCAUAUAUGCCAGCAGAAAUUGGACGGGGAUGAGUAUAACUUGAACCGCUAGACCCUGAACUUUGCAACAUGCUAACUGAAUAUGAAAUUCAUUUAUUCUUAGCCACGUUGCAACUGCGCAGGUUGGGAAUCCAAAUUUUGUGUUUGAAGGCAAAACUAUACAAAGAAUAGAACUUUUGGUACUAACCACAUUGAAGUGGAGAAUGAUAGCUUAUACACCUUGCACAUACAUCGAUUAUUUUGUAAGAAAGAUGAAUGACGAUCAAUCCCAUCAGAAUGUUUUGUGAUUAAUUCAAUUCAUGAUUAUUGAAUCCUGCAAUAGUAUCACCAUCAAAUGAGGAGGAGGUGUGGCGCCACUUAUAGCACUUGGACGAACUAAUGAUGAGUUGUCCUACACUCAUCUAGGUUCAGUGCAAUAACUUGCUCUUAUG